rnacentral:rRNA from 1 species
UGCCAGACUCCUACGGGAGGCAGCAGUGGGGAAUAUUGCACGAUGGGGGGAACCCUGAUGCAGCGACGCCGCGUGGGUGAAGGAGCACCUCGGUGCGUAAAGCCCUAUCGGCAGGGAAGAAAAGCGAACAGGUUCGCCUGGACGGUACCUGACUAAGAAGCCCCGGCUAACUACGUGCCAGCAGCCGCGGUAAUACGUAGGGGGCAAGCGUUAUCCGGAUUCACUGGGUGUAAAGGGAGCGUAGACGGCGGCGCAAGUCUGGAGUGAAAGCCCGGGGCCCAACCCCGGGACUGCUCUGGAAACUGCGGCGCUGGAGUACGGGAGGGGCAGGCGGAAUUCCUGGUGUAGCGGUGAAAUGCGUAGAUAUUAGGAGGAACACCAGUGGCGAAGGCGGCCUGCUGGACGACAACUGACGGUGAGGCGCGAAAGCGUGGGGAGCAAACAGGAUUAGAUACCCCGGUAGUA